UCUUCGCUAGUAUAUCGGUUAGUACACGCGCCUGUCAAUGCUUUGGGUGCGCGCGAAAGCUGGGUUCGACUCCCAGGCGAAGAG